GCCGUAAGGAACCAGAAGACAGGUGCUGCAUGGCUGUCGUCAGCUCGUGUCGUGAGAUGUUGGGUUAAGUCCCGCAACGAGCGCAACCCUCGUCGUUAGUUGCCAUCAUUAAGUUGGGAACUCUAGCGAGACUGCCGGUGACAAACCGGAGGAAGGUGAGGAUGACGUCAAGUCAGCAUGGCCCUUACGUCCUGGGCGACACACGUACUACAAUGCGAGGGACAGAGAGCAGCCAACCCGCGAGGGAGAGCGAACCUCUUAAACCCUGGCACAGUUCAGAUUGCAGGCUGCAACUCGCCUGCAUGAAGGAGGAAUCGCUAGUAAUCGCAGGUCAGCAUACUGCGGUGAAUCCGUUCCCGGGCCUU
rnacentral:rRNA from 1 species